rnacentral:rRNA from 1 species
UACAGAGGGUGCAAGCGUUAAUCGGAAUUACUGGGCGUAAAGCGUGCGUAGUCGGUUAUCUAAGUCGGGUGUGAAAUCCCCGGGCUCAACCUGGGAAUUGCAUUCGAUACUGGAUAGCUAGAGUUCGGCAGAGGGAAGCGGAAUUUCCGGUGUAGCGGUGAAAUGCGUAGAUAUCGGGAGGAACACCUGUGGCGAAAGCGGCUCACUGGACCAUUACUGACGCUGAUGCUCGAAAGCUAGGGGAGCAAACAGG